rnacentral:lncRNA from 1 species
AGGAUGGGAAUGUCAUACUCUUAGAUCAAAGACUUUGGAAAUUAAAAUCUUUGUCAACUCUUGCUGGCAUAUUGCUUAUUAGAGGGACCAUGGGCUAUCAUUUUCUUCUUUUUUUUUAAGUAGAUACCGAGGUACCCCUAAUUCUACUGCCGGACACUUGUCCAUUUUUUUGCGAGGUUAUCGAGCACUUGCUCCUUUUUAUUUCCUCAAAAUAUCCUUAUUUUUGCAUAGCCCAUGCCUCUAAUGCAAUAAUACUUCGGAAGAGUGAAUCUUUCUGAAUAAAUGCCUUGAUCUUAGGAGCGUGAUAAAUCUCUCAACAAGGGUCUAACUCAUUUUGAACAAACUCAAUACAGAAAAGAUAGCUUUUAUAAUCAUAAUUAAUAUUUUUCAGUUUUAGUAGGCAUGUAAAACACUGAGGAUGGUA